rnacentral:rRNA from 1 species
CCUACGGGUGGCAGCAGUGGGGAAUAUUGGACAAUGGGCGAAAGCCUGAUCCAGCCAUGCCGCGUGUGUGAAGAAGGCCUUCGGGUUGUAAAGCACUUUCAGUGGGGAAGAAAGCCUUGGGGCUAAUACCCUCGAGGAAGGACAUCACCCACAGAAGAAGCACCGGCUAACUCCGUGCCAGCAGCCGCGGUAAUACGGAGGGUGCGAGCGUUAAUCGGAAUUACUGGGCGUAAAGCGCGCGUAGGCGGUCUGAUAAGCCGGUUGUGAAAGCCCCUGGCUCAACCUGGGAACGGCAUCCGGAACUGUCAGGCUAGAGUGCAGGAGAGGAAGGUAGAAUUCCCGGUGUAGCGGUGAAAUGCGUAGAGAUCGGGAGGAAUACCAGUGGCGAAGGCGGCCUUCUGGACUGACACUGACGCUGAGGUGCGAAAGCGUGGGUAGCAAACAGGAUUAGAACCCCUGUAGUC